rnacentral:rRNA from 1 species
CCUACGGGUGGCAGCAGUGGGGAAUCUUGCACAAUGGGCGAAAGCCUGAUGCAGCAACGCCGCGUGAGCGAAGAAGGCCUUUGGGUCGUAAAGCUCUGUCCUAAGGGAAGAAGGAAGUGACGGUACCUUAGGAUGAAGCCCCGACUAACUACGUGCCAGCAGCCGCGGUAAAAAGUAGGGGGCAAGCGUUAUCCGGAAUUAUUGGGCGUAAAGAGUACGUAGGCGGUUCUUUAAGCGUAGGGUCAAAGGUGAUGGCUUAACCAUAGUUCGCCCUGUGAACUGGAGGACUUGAGGAUCGGAGCAGAAAGCGGGAUUCCUAGUGGAGCGGUGAAAUGGGUAGAUAUUAGGAGGAAAACCAGUGGCGGAGGCGGCUUUCUGGACGAAAACUGACGCGGAGGUACGAAAGCGUGGGGAGCAAACAGGAUUAGAUACCCUAGUAGUC